GUGGGGAAUCUUGCGCAAUGGGCGAAAGCCUGACGCAGCCAUGCCGCGUGAAUGAUGAAGGUCUUAGGAUUGUAAAAUUCUUUCACCGGGGACGAUAAUGACGGUACCCGGAGAAGAAGCCCCGGCUAACUUCGUGCCAGCAGCCGCGGUAAUACGAAGGGGGCUAGCGUUGCUCGGAAUUACUGGGCGUAAAGGGCGCGUAGGCGGACAGUUUAGUCAGAGGUGAAAGCCCAGGGCUCAACCUUGGAAUUGCCUUUGAUACUGGCUGUCUUGAGUACGGGAGAGGUGAGUGGAACUCCGAGUGUAGAGGUGAAAUUCGUAGAUAUUAGGAAGAAAACCAGUGGCGAAGGCGACUCACUGGCCCGUUACUGACGCUGAGGCGCGAAAGCGUGGGGAGCAAACAGGAUUAGAAACCCUGGUAGUCC
rnacentral:rRNA from 1 species